rnacentral:lncRNA from 1 species
CCUAGUAAAUAUAACAAGGAAAACUUCCUUGACGUAAUGGUUAAUUUUGUAGUUUUACAGUUCAACAGCUGUGUAACACCAAACAUGAAACAGCCACAAAAUAUUUCAUGUACUCACUUCCUCCACAUCCAUACAGUCCUGUUUUGUCGCUCACUACCUUGUUAAACCUCUUUGACAGUUGUCUAGGAUGUUGUUCAGUCUGUGAAUCUAAUCAUUUCUUGAAGUUUUCUUCUAGAAAUGUUUUCAAUCUCUCAACAUAGCUGGUGACUUCUCAGCGUUUCUUAGUUUGAUGUAAAAAGGCUAAUAAUGUUCAAUCGCAAGAGCAAGUGUCCACCAAGUGGAUGGCAGCANUGUAGCUGUCAUGACAACUGGAUACACAAAUGAACAAGAAGGUAAAAAAAGCAAUUGCAGUGCAAUACAGUCUCAUGAAUGUUUUCGAGUAGUAUGGAUGAUAGAAUGAAAUGAUUGAAUUAAUGGAUGAAUGGGGAAAAUUGGAUCAAUGAUAGGAUGAAUGAUAGAGAGAAUUAAUAUCUAAUUGAAUGAUUGGAAACUGAAUGAAUAAAUGAACAAAUCAUUAAUCCAAACAACAAAGUCAAGCAUGCAAACAUUUGUCAUGAUGAUGCCAACAUCAACUUUCACAGAGGAAGCAAUUCGUAAAGAAGGCAGAUCUUCACCAAGCUGUGUUGCAAGAAGUCUCCUCUUGCAGCUGCUAUUUGGCCCCCUUCCAGGUCUCUCCACAGAGACCUGGGAGUGAGCUAAACAAUGGCUGCUAGAGAGGACUAUGUAUUGUCAGGGUUCAUGCUACUCGUUGAAGUCCUUCAAAAGUCCUGGAAUUGAAAACCUGUUUUCUGUGAUAUGAUAAGUUCUUGUGUUCAGUUUUGAGUUCUUUUCAGCAUUGUUAAUAGCUGCAAAGUGAAACACAUUGAACCAAGAAAUAUGAAUGGUCCUUCAUACCUUUAUUCUUGGGUUUCAACCACAUGAUCAAGAAUCCCCCAUGAUUAUUAAAAGAACAAAGCUAUCUCCACCAUGUUGGAUGAACAAAAAAGCAAAACAAACGAGGAAUGUUUUGUUAUCGUCAUCAAUGACAAUGAUGUAACGUGAAUCCAAUGAAUAUGCAUUAAUUCCUUGCAUAAUUUGACUGGUAUAGUAUAUCCUAGGGGUGGUGAAUUCAGAUAAAAAAAAAUUAAAUUUGAGUUUCAAAAGAUCCCUAUAGUAGAUAAGUUAUUGGAAAAUACUUUUUAUUUGAUUCUGGAGUAUUUUAUUGUCAUUGAAAAACAGUACUCAAUGUAGGUACUCAACUCUACUACUCUACUUGCUUUCACUGUACAAUGAUUUUCCAACAUUGUAUAAGUAAAGCAUCCUAUUCAAUAGUUAAGAUUAAAAAAAAAACUUCACCACCCCUAGCUUCUGAAUAAAUUAUUUCAAAAUGACAUAUUUUUUCCAUGAUUGAGUGAGGUUUAUUGUAUGAAGUUCAAAGUACUUUUUCAGCCUUCAAGCUUGAUUUGGUAGUCACUCGCUGAGGUGCUAAAACACAGAAGCGAUUGAACAAGAUGUGGGAACAUGUUGCCCACUUGAAGUGAUACAUCAGCUACAUAUACUAGACGUAUANAGCACCACAGUCAUCUCAUUUGUCCGUAUAGAUUGGUAAUGUAUAAAUAGAAGAGUCAGAGCCUUAUAGCUUGCCUUAAUGUUAUCAUACAUACAUGCAAAGAUGUAGGGUAUAUUUUACUGAUCAAAACUCUUACGUUAUUUACUUGCUCUAAAGCGUUAUAUGAUCUUUUGCCUUUACGUCAUACCCUACACUCAUGUAUUAACUGCAGUAUUCUGAUGUCAUGGAAGCUGACGGUUACUUUAAUUCAAUGAAAUAGUGGAAACCCUAUAAAAGUUCACAUUUUGUGAAUGUUAAAAAAUNACCAGAUUGACAAAUUAAAGAAGAAAUGCAUUAACGUCUUAAUGACUAUAGACUUAUACAGCAUUUGUCAGCAACUAAGCUGUAGAAGAUCAAAUACAAAUUGUUGCACAGUGUCAUAUAGUUCCUAAGAUGUCAGUCGAUAACAUUAAGGCAAGCUUGGAAUGAUAAAUCUUUNACCAAAUCAAUAUUGUUUUCCAUUUGUAUUUUACUAACAAUAUUAUUGCCAGAAUAUCACGUGCUGAACCAAGGUUUGAAUACAAAGUACUGAAAGCCUGAUGAGAUGAUACAAUGAAGCAAAAGAUUAGAUCCUGGGCAAACAUGCCUGGUUCCACCACACCCCCAUUUCCUAUCGUAAUCACCNNGUGCUAGCAUACCUUGUACAGAAUCCUGUAGAUGAACANUAUUCCAGGUUAGGAUGCCAGAAUCUUGUAAUAAUUACAUGUAAUAAUGAGAAAUAGAAUACCAAUUCUCAAGACUUGGGAAAUUUGGGCUCACAAGUCUCCAAAGUUAAAANGACAAGAUUUGAAGAGAGUGCAAUAUACAACUCACAGGGAAAGCACGUAGGGUACUGAGUAUAUCCAGGUAUAUUUCUGAGAAAUAUGAACUAAUUUCCAUCGAGUUGUACUCUUUUGAUUUGGAAAAAAAUGAAAAAAAAAAAAAAAAAAAUAGAAGCAAUCCAUGCUAUCAAGGAAUGUUUAAAAUUUUCAUAUGAAAAGACCAAAAAUGAACUCUGUUUUUCAAGUACGGCAAACUGCACAUUACAUUAUUUCCUACAGGAUUCUAUGGUAUGCUACACAUGGUUGACAUCAUAACUACACUAUAAUAAUAAACUGCAAAAAACAACACGACACAAUAUUCACACACAAAGCAAACUUGUCUAGAGUUGUCUCUGUUGCUCUUUUUUGAUAAUCAAACCAACCCAGUUACAACUGACUCCUGAUAAAGGUAAAGGUUGCAUCAGUGAAAAUCUGAUUAUUUGUAGCAAUGAUGUGGUUUGUUUCAAACCUGUUUUUCACUUGCUUCAAAAAGAUUUAUAUCCAAGAAAUGUGCUAUGGAGGACAUUGUUAUGCUUAUAAAAACAUGCAAACAGAAUGUUAAUAUUCUAUUUUUGAAGGUUCUGAAUUAAUGUUAUAAAAAAACAAACAACAAAACAAAGCAUUGCCUUAAAAAAAAAAAAAAAAAACAUGCCGUCUUUGU